CGGCCUGCUGGACCUGCCCGUGCUGCGGCCUCCGGCGACCCGGCAGCGACGCGGGCGGGGACGCGGUGCAUCGCUACUGCGCCCGGCGGACAGCGACUUGCUGCUCAAAAAGAAUAAGAACCAGGGUUUUUGUUUGUUUUUUUUUUUUUUAAUUAAGGUAAAAAUAACGCACUUUUUUUUUUGCGGAACCUGAAAAAUUCAAGAAGUUGAAAAACGCUUUUCACGUCACCUGGAGAGAUGCACAGGUAACAUUUUGAUACAUUUCCUUCCAGUCUUUUCUCUAGAUGCAUGUCGUUUUCUUUUUAAAAAUUUAUUAUAUAAAACUGGCAUCAGACUGUAUAGACUGUAUAUCUGGCAUCUCCUGCUGUUUUACCUGGCAUCAAGUAGUGAGAAUUUUGCCAUAUCGGUAAGUAUCAUUGCCAACACGCUUUUUAAUGAUUGUGUAGCAUUCCAGCUAUGAAUGAACACUAGCGUAUGUAACCUAUUGUUACACACUUAAGUUAUUUUUAAAAUCAGCAUUACAGUUGUAAAUCUAUUUGAUGGUGCUAAUGACAUUUUUAAAGUUCUAGUAAUCCCACAACCCAUAGAUAAACACUCAUAACAUCUUGGUGUGUCACUUUCUGGGCUUUUCCAUGCAUAUAGCCAUAAAUGUAUGUGUUUGCACUUACAGAAAUAACAUCAUGUAUAUACAUAAGUGUGAAUCCCUGAAGCCUCCCUCUCCUGCAGCAAAACAUUAAAAUGCCAAGCUCUUAAAACAAUGAAUGUAUAGCUGUGUUUUUAAAAAUCUCUUAGGGCAGCACUAAGGGGAACUCCAGCAUUGGCAGAGGGGAAGGCUGUGACCCAGGGGGACAGGCUGAGGACCUGGGGCUGGAUGAAGCUGUGGGUGAGUGUAGACAAAGAAGAAAAGAGGACCAAGGACAGUGCCCUGGGUCCUCCAAGGUUAAGGGCUCAAGAAAGAGGCCAGGUGCAGUGGCUCACGUCUGUAAUCCCAGCACUUUAGGAGGCCGAAGCAGGCGGGACCACUUGAGAUCAGGAGUUCAAGACCAGCCUGGCCAAUAUAGUGAAACUCCGUCUCUACUAAAAAUACAAAAAAUUAGCCAAGUGUGGUGGCACUCACCUGUAGUCCCAGCUAUUCGGGAGGCUGAGGCAGGAGAAUCGCUUGAGCCUGGGAGGCAGAGGUUGCAGGGAGCCAAGAUCAUGCCACUGCACUCCAGCCUGGGCAAAAGAGUGAGACUCCAUCUCAAAAAAAAAGAAAGAAAGAAAGAAAGAACCAAAUAGAGACUCUUGAAGUGGAGGAGCCCCUGAAGCAGGAGAAAAACCAGGCUACUGUGGCAUUCUGGAAGCCAAAGGAAGAAAGUGUAACUCACUGCUGUUUUAGUGCAAAUUUCUGUUUUCGUAUGUUUCUUGGCCAUUUGAAUCCUGUGAAUUUUCUAGUCAUAUCCUUUGACCAUGUGUUUGUCUUUUUCUUGACUUUUAGGAGCUCUUUACAUGCUCUGAAGAAAAGAUCUUGUUAAGUAUGUUGCAAAUGUUUUCUCCCUGUCUGCCACUUGUCUAAGUUAGUUUAGGGAAUCUUUUGGAUAUGAGAAGUUUUUAAUCUUCAACCUGUCAAUUUUUUCCUUAUUGCUUCGGGGUUUUGUGUCUUACUUAGAGAGGACUUCCCUAUCCCUGAGAUAUAAAAGAUAUUCUUUUAAUCUCAAGGUCCAAAAGAACACGUGGGAGACUUUUCCAGAGCACUGCUUGGCCCAAGAGGAGUGUGUGGUCACUGGGCAAAAAUGAAUCUAAGAUUACCUGGAUGAGAACUCCUUGCCAUGCAUCUUUUCUUUCUUUCCUCUCUUUCAUCCUUUUCCUUGUUUCUUUCCUUCCUUCCUUCCCUUCUUUCUUUCUCUUUCUCUCUUUUCCUUCCUUUCCUUCUUUCUUUCCUUCCUUCCUUCCCUUCUUUCUUUCUCUUUCUCUCUUUUCCUUCCUUUCCUUCUUUCUUUCCUUCCUUCCUUUCUCUUCCUUUCCUUUCCUUUCCUGUGGCCCCUCCUUAGUGCCAUACAAAGGGCAUUGGCACAAUUACUUCUAGGACAGAAAAGCCACGCCCAUCAUAUGCUGAUGUCAUAGCCAUUUCCAGAUACCUCGUCUACCCUUUGCCUGUAGCAGUGCACGGGGCCCAUUUCCAUCCCCUCUCAAGUGACCAUUUCCCCCAGCAAUCCAUCUGAGGCCCCGGGCUUCCCCACCUCUUUCUGUAAGUCCCAGCUUUCUGCUUUUAGGACUGUUUGGGAAAUCCAUAACUCACCUUCUCUUCUUUUGGUCCAGCCUGCCCAGAGCUGUCCUUCAGGCCCCUCAGCAAGCUUUCCAUUCUCCUUUUGUUUAUUUGAGACAGGGUCUAGCUCUGUCACCCAGGACGGAGUACAGUUGCACGAUCAUAGUUCAUUGCAGCCUCAGUCUCCUCAGUAGCUAGGACUACAGGCAUGAGGCACCAUGCCUGGCUAAUUUUUAAUUUUUUUUUUUGAGACGGAGUCUCACUGUGUUGCCCAGGCUGGGAGUGCAGUGGCGUGAUCUCAGCUCACUGCAACCUCCUCCUCCCUGGUUCAAGCAAUUCUCCUGCUUCAGCCUCCUGAGUAGCUGGGAUCACAGGUGUACACC
rnacentral:lncRNA from 1 species